rnacentral:lncRNA from 1 species
GUGAAGAGCAUGGCAUCCAAUACAGAGAGCUCAGGGUUAUGGACUGAUGAGAUGCACCAAGCUGUUGGGGACACAGUGUGGCUGGGAGCUCCAGAAUGGGGGUUAUCCUCAGUCAGGACUGCCACUCCCCGCUCUGGGUGUGGGCUACACUCCCUCUCCCUUCAUAGUGCCCACCCUCGAGGAGAAGCACCUUCAAGGAUGCACGCUCCUGCCUCUGGGAAUGUCAAAAGAUAGUUGGCAGGAAGUGCCUGGCACAGAGGCGGGGGCUCAGUUGUUAUUGAUAAUUAGGAGCUCAACAGGAACUCGAACCCAAAAAUUGUCCUCAGAGUGCCGAGGUAUUUAUUUGCACAGAGAGUUUGCCAAGUUCCUUCUGACUUCUCUUUCCCUUGCCAUCCCCCACAGUGGCUGGGAACCCUGCAAGUCAACGGCUUUGAACUGGGACUUCAAAGAGAAGCCGAGCUCUGUUCUUCAAACAGGUUUAUAAAGAGAUUUUGAUACAAGACAACAAUACUUGUCAGCAGUGCCCAGUUAUCGUCCUUCCCUUUGUAGUUUUAUUAGGAAAUAAUUUCCCGGCUGGUGAGGCUCCUGCUGGCACGCCUUGUUUCUCUACUUGCGACUGGAUCUGCCCACCGGAGGGGCUGCCCCUCGCACUGCAGCAGUUUUGCCAGCUGGGGUCCCGAGAAAGACGUCACCAAAGGGUCUCCUGGCAGCCAAUUUACCAUCUGCCCCCCCGCCCCCGCCUCCUCUCGCCCUUUGUAGCAAAAAUGCAAUUUGUUUGACCUCUGGGGUGGUUUAAAAUCCCAGCUUCUCAAGUGCCCCCCGAUUACUAUUUUUUUUUUUUUAAGAAGGAAGAGAAAGAGGAAACUGACCAGAAAAGAAAAGAAUAAUUUAAGCCUCCCUUUCUAUCAUGUCCUGCAUUUUGGGUUGGCAACAGAUUUCCCAAUAGAUGAAAACUAAAGAGCCCAGUUCCUUUGGGAAUCAAGCAGGAGCAUUUGGAGCCUGCAUUUAAGCCUAGGCAGGGUGUGGCUUCCCAGAAGUGACUGUUUCUUCCUCUUUCCCCGGUGCUGUUUCUUUCCCGAUAUUUUGGCACACAGGGCAUUGAGUCUACUGUGUGUGGAGCACCGUGGCAGGUUCUGAGCAAGACAGAAAUGACGGACACCAGGUCCCUCUGGUCAUGUGUCUCUGCAUGGGUGUGGUGAGCUGGGGGGACAAGCACGCUCCACAGGGGCUCUGCACAGAGGCCUCUGCUCACAGCAGAGGAAGGGACCCUGGGCUUUGGGGGCACAGCUGUCCAGAGCCAUGCACCAGACCUGCUGGAGGUGGCUCUUGAUCCUCAGCUGAGGGAGAGCCAAUGGUCAGGGAGGGUGUGCUGUGGUGGUGGUUUUAGGAUGGGGCCCCUGGGAUGCACUUCCACACUAGAAAAGGGUGCAGACAGAGAGGGAGGGUGGAGUUGUGGGUGGGAGAAAAUAAUGGGUGGAUUCUGAUCCUGGGAGAGGUAGCACAGAAUAGAAUUGGGGCAGAAGGGGGCACCUAGCCCCAGAAAAACCUACAUUUCACUUCCUUUUUAUGAAAUUGGGAAAGAAUUGUGAGAGAAGGUGCUGAUUGUUUAGGGGGUUAGGGAGCAGAGAAUGUGGGCACGGUCACGUUUUCUGCCCUUUGUUCUCACUGGGAAAUAGGAAUUAAGGGUAUCUGCUGGCCAGGGGAGGGGUUUUAGGAAGUUACAGGCAGAAGCAUCUUAGAGAUUAUUUAGUUCAAAGCCUUCAUUUUAGCCAGUGAGGUUCAGAGAGAUGGAGGCAUUUCCCAAGGUAACACGUUGAUGAGUGGGGGAGCAGGGACUUGAACCCACGUCUGCUGCAUCCCAGGUCAGAGGCCACUGCUUUGCAGGGGGCUUGCUGCCUUCCUGAGGGUGCAGCCCUGUUCUGAGUCCACUGGGAGGCUGGAGGAGCCGUGGCAGCUGGACGAGGCCUUCUGGGAUUCUUUGCCACCUCAGUGAUGAGGCUGGCUCUAAUGCCCUCCCUCAGCUGAGAGGAGAGAGGUCAGUGCAGAGGGGAACCUGCUGCAGUCACGGGUCACCCAGGGUCACGUCAGGCCUCUGCACAAUGCACAGAGCUCCAGGCGUGCAGGAGGCACAGAGCUGAUGCCAUUCCUCGGACUCCGAAGAAGUUUGCUGACCGGGUAUUACUCACCUUCUCCUCAAUAAUUUCCUACUGUUGCCAGAGGAAAUAGUCAAUGCUUUCCCCAAGAAACUGCAGCAUAGAAAGCAGUCUCAGAACUUGUAGUUUCUGAGGAGAAAUGUGCAAGACCACAGGAAUAGCAGAGACCUGCUGGUUCCUGCCCAGGAUCUAUGCCCAUGUUAUUAUACCCAUUGGACAGAUGGGGAAACCUAAACAGAAAAAUCAGUGAUUUCCAAAGCUUCACCCAAAGGCAGUAAGAAAACUCAUAGCUUAAUGUUGCUGCAUUUCUUCCUGAAUCUUCCUCCUGCCGAUUACUUUAUAUUUCCAUGGAGUGUAAAGCCUUGACGGAGACAGACAGAUUGAAGAUGAACGAUGAGCCCUUUUCCAUGGGAUCUGGCCAGAGUGGACUCAACCCUAGCCAUGGACAUCAUUUUUUGAGGCAACCAUUUAAAAAAAAAAAUUAAGCUAUCAUGGAAUAGAAUCACAAAAGUUGUAAGAUAUUUUACAUAUUUGAAUUUAGGGAAUGGCAAACUAUGGCUUGCAGGCCAAAUGUGUUACAGCCUGUUUUUGUACAGCCUGUGAGCUAAGAAUGGUUUUUAUAUUUUAAAAGGACUUUUUUUUUAAAAAAAAAAAAAAAGGAAAAACAAUAUUCUACAGAGGUUGUGUGCAGCCCAUAAAACCUCAUAUGUUAACUAACUAGCCCUUUAUAGAAAAAGUUUGCUGAUCCCUGAUAACAUAUAGUGCUUUUAUUACAAAAGAUACAACUGUGGAAUUGAAUUAUUCACAAGAUAAGCAUAAAAUGUAUUAAAAAUAUUCAUUUGUUGUAUGAGUGGUCGUAUGAGC